ACGGGCUGGGCGGGCGGUGGCGGCGGCGGCCCUCGGUGCGCUCGGCCCUGCGCGGACGGUUGCGGGCUCCGCGGCCCCGGGCGGCGCAGGUGACCGGAAGCCGCGCGACAGCGGGGCUGGGCUCCGGGAUGCGGACGCGGCCCAGGUGCGCACGGCCGCGCGGGGCCCGGAGCGCCCUCUGCUCGCCGCCGCCUUUCCAGGGAAGCUCCCGGCUUCCCUCGCUGCCGAGCUGUUCGCACGGCCGCACAGUAUCUUAUUAUCUGCUCGGGUGAAAAGUUUCACGUAGGUCGCCAGACUUGUUUGCCCGCGCGGGGGCCCACUUAUAAAUAGGCUGCCACCCCCUCGUUAAACACCGGCGCCUGACAGACGGAAACUUCCCAGGCUCCUUUCCUGCGCUCCCACGCGCCGCUCUCCCAGGAGAGGGCCCGACCCGAGAAGGUGGCGUGGAAAAUUGAAUAAUGGCCCUGAUGCGCAUUCAUUCAUGCAUGGCUUCUGGGGACCCACUGUGCAGCUUUAGCAAUAAAGGAAGCCAAAGACUCCUCCCACCUGUAUCUGAAGCAGCAGGUGCAGAGAAUGCUGAUUGCUGCAGGAAGAGAUGGGAGAGGAGAUGGGCUUUUAAAGGUCAAGUUCAUUGAUCUUCUUAAAUGACUAUGUCAAGGGUAACCUUCCUGAAUGUCAGAGGGACAAUCUCUGAUACGGGACCACAUGAGGUUGGUGGCUGGUUUGUAAUUAAGGGAGUUCUCUUGACCUGCUUUGCCCACUUUUAAAACUCUUACUGUGUUUAUUUAUUUAUUUAUUGUGUGUAUGUGUGGACGUCAGAGGACAACUUCUCUCCUCUCCCCGUAUUGG